GAACUGACUCUUACAUGUGGGCGAACUGACUCUUACAUGUGGGCGAACUGACUCUUACAUGUGGGCGAACUGACUCUUACAUGUGGGCGAACUGACUCUUACAUGUGGGCGAACUGACUCUUACAUGUGGGCGAACUGACUCUUACAUGUGGGCGAACUGACUCUUACAGGUGGGCGAACUGACUUACAGGCGAACAAACUGACUCUUACAUGUGGGCGAACUGACUCUUACAUGUGGGCGAACUGACUCUUACAUGUGGGCGAACUGACUCUUACAUGUGGGCGAACUGACUCUUACAUGUGGGCGAACUGACUCUUACAUGUGGGCGAACUGACUCUUACAUGUGGGCGAACUGACUCUUACAUGUGGGCGAACUGACUCUUACAUGUGGGCGAACUGACUCUUACAUGUGGGCGAACUGACUCUUACAGGUGGGCGAACUGACUCUUACAUGUGGGCGAACUGACUCUUACAUGUGGGCGAACUGACUCUUACAUGUGAGCAAACUGACUCUUACAUGUGAGCAAACUGACUCUUACAUGUGAGCAAACUGACUCUUACAUGUGGGCGAACUGACUCUUACAGGUGGGCGAACUGACUCUUACAUGUGAGCAAACUGACUCUUACAUGUGAGCAAACUGACUCUUACAUGUGGGCGAACUGACUCUUACAGGUGGGCGAACUGACUCUUACAUGUGAGCAAACUGACUCUUACAUGUGAGCAAACUGACUCUUACAUGUGGGCGAAUUGACGUGUGGGCAAAAUGACCGUAAGCAGAAUGAGGUAUAUGGCCAUGCAAAAUUAAUCAAGUUGAGGUCUACAGCUCAUGGUUAGGCCACUAGUAGCAGACCCCCAUACAUGGAACUCUUAAUUCCCAUCUCAAGCUCCCUAUGAACUUUAAUAGGCACAGCAAUAGGCAGCUUUUUAAUACCAUUCAUCUUUAUUACAUGGUAGAUGGAAUCUACCUGUAUACUUUUGUAAGUUAGGAGGUUUUUCAUCUGCAUCUUUUGAUAUAAUGAUUGAGGCCUUUUAUCUGUUAGCCAUUAUAGUGUUGGAAACUUUUAUCCAUUUGUCUUUUCACAACAUAGAAGGAUUUUUAUCUAUCUCCUAGAUUUUACCCAAACCCAAGAGAAGGAUUUUUAUCUAUCCUAGGUUUUACCCAAACCCAAGAGAAGGAUUUUUAUCUAUCUCCUAGGUUUUACCCAAACCCAAGACAUUAAAGGAGACAGACAGCUUAACCCUCUCACGCCCGAUGACACAUUUCGUGUCAUCGAAGGGUAAAAUAAUUGAUUAAAAAUUAAGUUUUCGGUGGAAGUGCGUCAAAUUUGGAGCGUCAUUUGUUGGGAUAAGUUUCUUAAUGGUAACAUAUGGCAACCUUUCUGAGGAGCGUGGAGCGAUUUUUAGUUGUUAGCCUACUCUGACGGGAGAGGAAAAAAAUACAGUUUUCUUGGUGUAACUCAGGAACUAAUAGGCGUAUGACGAUUUUGAGGAUACCAUAAGAAU